CCUCGAGCAAACAGGCUCCUCAUUGAUGUCAUGAAGAGGUGCCAAGUAUGGAUGGCAUAGAGCUUCAUCGACUUCAACAAACAAUGAAAAGUUGUUAGCAAAGGAAGAAAAGAGACGUGAACUAUACGAAUCUUAACUGUGAAAUGAGACUAAGAGUUCAGCAACUAAUUAUACCUGUAAUACGCCUAUGCGGAUCAAAGAUAAGCAUCUUUUCUAGCAAAUCGACAGCCCCCGGUGACAUGUUAGGAAAUUUAGC